rnacentral:rRNA from 1 species
GUUAAAUAAGAUAAGUCUGUUCGACUUCUAAAAAAUUACAUGAUUUGAGUUCAAAUCGGUGUAAACCAGAUUGGAUUCUAUCUUUUCUAAAUUAUUUGCUAGUACGAAAGGACAUCAAAUUAUAUUAUUUAAUUUUUUAUUGGCAGAAAA